CAGUCGCCGCGGGAAUACGUAGGGUGCAAGCGUUAAUCGGAAUUACUGGGCGUAAAGCGUGCUCAGGCGGUUAUAUAAGACAGAUGUGAAAUCCCCGGGCUCAACCUGGGAACUGCAUUUGUGACUGUAUAGCUAGAGUACGGCAGAGGGGGAUGGAAUUCCGCGUGUAGCAGUGAAAUGCGUAGAUAUGCGGAGGAACACCGAUGGCGAAGGCAAUCCCCUGGGCCUGUACUGACGCUCAUGCACGAAAGCGUGGGGAGCAAACAGGAUUAGAUACCCCAGUAGUCCCUGUCUCUUAUAC
rnacentral:rRNA from 1 species